GCUGGCGGAGCCCGGGAGGCGGAGAAGGCUGUUGUUACCUUGGCCGUCGCAUCCCCGAGGGAGUCGUGUCGGCGCCACCCCGGCCCCCGAGCCCGCAGAUUGCCCACCGAAGCUCGUGUGUGCACCCCCGAUCCCGCCAGCCACUCGCCCCUGGCCUCGCGGGCCGUGUCUCCGGCAUCAUGUGUGGUAUAUUUGCUUACUUAAACUACCAUGUUCCUCGAACGAGACGAGAAAUCCUGGAGACCCUAAUCAAAGGCCUUCAGAGACUGGAGUACAGAGGAUAUGAUUCUGCUGAUUUAUCUCCCAAGCUGUAUUCUAGGCCUCCUACAAGUUUCUUCCUAGAUAGACCAUGAUAUUUUAAACUUUGCAUGUUCAAAAAUUGAAUUGAGGCCGGGCGUGGUGACUCACGCCUGUAAUCCCAGCACUUUGGGAGGCUGAGGUGGAUGGAUCACUUGAGGUGUGGGAUUUGAUGGAGGCAAUGAUAAAGAUUGGGAAGCCAAUGCCUGCAAAAUCCAGCUUAUUAAGAAGAAAGGAAAAGUUAAGGCACUGGAUGAAGAAGUUCACAAGCAACAAGAUAUGGAUUUGGAUAUAGAAUUUGAUGUACACCUUGGAAUAGCUCAUACCC
rnacentral:sRNA from 1 species